CGAGCAUGGUGAUGAUAGAUAACAACAUUAUUUCGAUUGUUUGAUGAAAGGAUAAAACACCUCCUACUCAUUCUGA